UUAACACAUAUCAGGUACUUACAAGUACCUGCUUUGGUGCGGGACUCCAAAUGUCUCCAUUACUUCCAUGCCCACACCAGCUCUUCAUUACGUAGUACCUGAAUUCGACCUCCAUUUUAAAUACAAGGGUCUGAAGUCCAGAGAGCCGAAGCGGUUAUCUCCAGCUAGUGGAAAUCUGAUUUUAAAACCAACUAUCCAUGCUCAGGCCAAGAGACCCAGAAAAGAGCGGCAUCCUGUGGUGAAGAGAGCUGCCCACAUCACCAACCAAGGUGGUUCUAGAGUAAGAAAGUGUGCCGAGGACAGAGACAACCGUGCUUCAUCUGGGCAGGCGCAAAGCCCUGGGGACCGACCACAGGAAGCUCCUGGUCUUUGUGAGCCUCUGCGUUGUAACAGGACGUUGGGAGCUGAGUAAUUUACCCAGAACAGAGACCAUUUGCUUUCCAGUUCUGAAGGCUGCUCAUGGCCCCAGCCUUUGAGCUACAAUGUCCCAUGGUGAGAGAGCAGGAGGAAGGGGCAGGCAAAUUAAGAGCGAGUUGGAGUCACUUUGUAACAACCUGUUCCCUAGAUAAAGGCAUCGCUCCACUCCUGAGGAGAGUCUGUGACAAUCACCUGUGGUGAGGCUCCACCUCCAAACACUGCUGCACUGUAGACUGACUCCCCAAUAUGUGAACCUGGGGGACAGACUCAAGCCAUAGGACACCCACCUGGCCCCACCCAAGUUGCCUCAAGCACUGCAUAUAAACAACCUCAUGUUUCUGCUUCCGCCCAGCGCAUCAUUUGUGACACUCAUCGGGCCUUGAAGAAACACUGACAGAGAAGGGUGCUGAAACCUCAAACCUGCCACCAGGCUUUGCUGACACCACCCGGAAGAUGGACAUAUUAGGAAACCAAGUGUAAUAACAAGAAGUUUUGCAGAGUUGUGAACACUUCCUACUAAGCAAGGCCUCUUCCUCAGCGCAGACACUAGGAGAGACAUGGCAAUGGGUAGCAAAGGAGCCCUCGAAGACAAAGCAGCUGUGUCUCUGGCUGUCAAGAAGUUCCCUGCCUCCCCAGCACCACUUUUGGGCUUUAUACACUGGAGUUUCCUGGUCCCUCCCACUCCUGCUCUUCUCCAUCCAAAGUCCUUGGCUAUGAAGCUUGCGUUGGGAGUGAGAAAACCAAACUCAGAAAAUGGCCAGCAGCCCUGACGACCUCGUGUGUGAGCAAACCCUCCAGCUUCUCUGGGCAACUGAGGACAAACAUGUGGGUGCAGACCCCCCCUCCCCCCGAGGACAAGUGAGAAACAAUGAAAGUCACAAGUGGAGGGCAUGGUCUGGAGUCUGCAUUGCAGUUCUUGGAGGCUCUAAGUCAGUUCACACUUAAAGCAGGUGAGCCGGGGGCCAGGGAGGGAAAAGGGGUGCAGGAGGGAAAGGAGAUGCAGCCGCCUCUUCUCCUGGGACCUGUGGGCACAUGGCUCCAUCUCUAUUGUCCCUUCAUACCCUUCCACACGCUCACAAAGAAAUGACCACCUUUGAUUUUAACAAAAGUCUGUUGUUGUUACCUCACGGACAGUUGCACAUUACUCAAAUUUUUUUUUUUCUAGAAUACAGGCAGUCCUUUAGUGAGAUAUACAUUGUUAGAAAAUAAAAGGUUUCAGAAGUCAGAAUCACUUUAAUGAAGCAACAUAGUUAUAAGCUUUCAGUUCCUGCUCUAGGUCCCCCUCAGUCAGCCUAAGUGGUGCCUGGUGCUGAGGCUCCCCCUCCAGUCAGCCUAAGUGGUGCCUGGUGCUGAGGCUAUCUGACAGCACCAAGAACAGCAAACCUCAAACCCUGCCACGUGUCUGAUCACCCGGACCGGGCCGGUGAAAGGCUGAGUUUCCAGGGCUGGUGAGAUCGCCCAGGAGGCAAAAGCGCUUGCUCUGCAAGCCUGAGC